rnacentral:rRNA from 1 species
UACGUAGGGUGCGAGCGUUGUCCGGAAUUAUUGGGCGUAAAGAGCUCGUAGGCGGUGUGUCACGUCGGCCGUGAAAACCUGCAGCUUAACUGUGGGCGUGCGGUCGAUACGGGCAUCACUGGAGUUCGGCAGGGGAGACUGGAAUUCCUGGUGUAGCGGUGAAAUGCGCAGAUAUCUGAAGGAACAUCAGUGGCGAAAGCGACUUCCUGGACCAAUACUGACGCUCAUGUGCGAAAGCGUGGGGAGCAAACAGG